AUGAUGUCUAUAUAUAUGAAAUCAAAACAUCCAAAACAAAAUUUUAAGUAUAUGAUCAAAUUUUUGAGAUACAUAAUACCUGCCAUCAUUGAGUGUAAAGCUGGCUUGGCCAACCUUGAAGCAGAGUUUUGCAAACCCACACUGUUGGAGGAGAUAACAGCUUCUGUAUAUAUAUAUGACGCUGGUUUACCAUGUAAACCGUGCCGGGUUAUAAUAAACACCGUGUUACUCCAUAAGAGGAUGUUAACAACAAGGAUCAAACCGGGCAAUAGUCUCCGGAUUGACGUGAACUGUGUUCCGUCAAUUGAUUGGUUAAAAAACUUUAUCGGUUUAAAAAAUGCAAUAAAAAGCAAAAAAAAACCUUCAAAGAAAAGUGUAAAGCAAAAGCAAUGA
rnacentral:rRNA from 1 species